CAAGUACUCCCUCCGUCCCAAAAUUCUUGUCUUAGGUUUGUCUUGAAAUGGAUGUAUCAAAAUACUAAAACGUGACUAGAUCGAUGCAUUCAUAUCUAAACAAAUCUAAGACNAGAAUUUUGGGACAGAGGGAGUAUAUA
rfam:Hordeum vulgare subsp. vulgare, WGS project CAJW01000000 data, contig: morex_contig_69355